rnacentral:rRNA from 1 species
AUGAAUGAACGUCUCCUCGCGCCUUUUUCUGAUGAUGAAAUAUCUGAUGCUUUGUUCCAAAUCGGACCCUUAAAGGCGCCGGGUCCGGAUGGGUUCCCGUCCCGGUUUUAUCAGAGGAACUGGGGUUGCUUGAAAGAGGAAAUCAUAGCCGCGGUUCGACUGUUUUUUGUCACAAGCCAUAUGCCAGAAGGGGUCAAUGAUACGUGUAUUGUACUGAUCCCCAAAGUUCAACACCCGGUGACGUUGAAGGAUUUCCGUCCUAUUUCUCUGUGCAAUGUGAUUUACAAGAUAGUCUCAAAAUGUAUGGUGAAUAGGCUCAGACCGUGCCUUGUGGAUCUCAUUUCAGAAAAUCAAAGCGCGCUCAUCCCGGGACGCUUAAUCUCAGAUAAUUCGAUGAUUGCUUUUGAGUGUAUCCACCAUAUCCAAACUUCUUCAGGAAAUAAUGAUUUUUGUGCAUAUAAGAUGGACCUGUCGAAGGCUUAUGACCGUGUUGAUUGCGACUACCUGGAGCGUGCUCUUUUGAAGUGGGGCUUCGCCCCACGGUGGGUUGAUCUAGUAAUGGAGUGUGUCAGAUCGGUCAAGUAUUCUGUCAAGUUUAAUGGCCGGCUACUGGAGCAGUUCUCUCCUUCGUGUGGUUUACGUCAAGGUGACCCCAUAUCACCCUUCCUGUUCCUUUUUGUGGCUGACUCCUUGUCUUCCUUAUUACAUGAGGCAGUCCAACAUAGAGGACUUGAGGCUAUCAAAAUUAGUAGGAGAGCCCCUGCUAUAUCACACUUAUUGUUUGCAGAUGAUUCCCUUCUGUUCUUCCGUGCUACUACGGAUUCGGCGAUGAUUGUCAAGGAUGUUUUGAGUACUUAUGCUUUAGCUACGGGUCAAAUUAUCAACCCCUCAAAGUGCUCCAUCCUGUUUGCUGACAAUUGUCCAAAUCAAGUUGUGGUGGAAGUGAAACAAAUUCUGAAUGUUACUCAACAGGAGUUUGAACCAAAGUAUUUGGGCCUCCCGGUUCCAAAGGGGCACAUGCAUAAGGGAUGUUUUGAAUCUCUGCAGUCUAGAUUGAGUAAGUGCUUGAUGAAUUGGAGUGAACGAUACUCGUCUUUUGCAAGUAAGGAGGUGCUUAUAAAAGCGGUGGCCCAAGCCAUCCCAGUUUAUGUUAUGGGUAUAUUCAAACUUCCCAUGUCGGUUUGUGAUGAGUUAACAAAGAUGAUGAGGCAAUACUGGUGGGGGUGGAAAACAGAAAGAAAAAGAUGGCAUGGGUUGCUUGGGAGCGUUUGA